GUCCCCGUGGCCCAGUUGGACAAGGGCGCCGGUUUGCGAUGCCGGAAGUCGAAGGUUCGAAUCCUUCCGGGGGCG
rnacentral:tRNA from 1 species